GAGUAGCCACUUUUUUCUUAUUCACUCGGAUCUCCGCUCCCGACACCCCCGUCGCCGCCCCCCCAACCCCCCGCCCAGUUGUUUGGCUCCGGCGGGGAGUCCAGACGUUUCUUUGCAAAUAACAGCCUGGAGGCGACACUCGCGGAGGGAACGAGGUUUGCACUGAGCACCCCGCCCCCCGGGGCUCCAGCGCUGGAAGACCCUCGCCCUAGGCCCUGCUUCUGAAUCGCUGGUUUUAAAAUGCGAAUCGAAUAAAUUGCGUGGCGUUUUGCAGCACCAGAACUCACCUUUGGCUUUGAAGGCACGUGGGUGAGUUGUGAAUGGACACCGGAGUCGCCUUCCCUCUCCAAGACUGAAGAUUGUUUAUUCUUCCUUUCCCCUCCACCCCCUUCCAUGGGAAGAUAAAUAUUCAAUUUACAUAAGAUGACAUUUAUGUGACAAUUAAGAAGAUUCCCCGAUGGAAUGUUGUGAACACAUUUGCUUAUAGGAGAAAUAAAUCUAAUAAUAAACAAACUCAUAAUAACAGCACAAAUCCUCCGACAGGGCGGAUUGUCUACCCAACAAAGAGGGAGAUGAUGAAUGCUGAAAUAAGCAGUUUUUGCAACAAGAAAGAAAUAUGAGCUCAAAGGGAGUCACUGCAACAUUUCUUCUUCCUUGGCCUUCAUUCACAAAGUCUGAGGAGAAUUGUCUGGCAAGAGGAUGGUCUGGGUAUUACCUUCCAGUUAGACCUGGCUGUGGCUCUCAGUGGUCAAUUGGUGGUAUUUUUCUCUAGCCAAGCUCAGAGUCUGGAAACAGGUGCUGCAGACUUGGAGUGUGUAACAAAAUAGUUAAAUACUUAGGUUCUAAUCCUGGCUUUGCAUUUCAGAAGCUGUGUGAUGUGGGCAAGUGAAUUCAUCUCCCUGGAUCGCUUUUUCCUUUUGGGUAGAAUGGGGUGGUUGGAGGGUUCUUGAGGCCAUGUGUGCACAUACACAUAUAUGUAUGUACGUACAUAUACAGGUGGUAUGUGUAAAGCAGCAACUGGCACAGGGUGCAUAGUGCUCAUUAGCACCUUGCCUGGUACCUAAGUGGGUUUUUUUUAUUUUGGAAGGGUGAAAUUGUUCUCUGAAGCUUGAUGGUCAAGGUCCAGAUGUCCAUUCCGGGGUGGGAGUGAGGGUACCAGUUUACAGUGGCACAGUCUAAAGAGAUGACCUCCAGAGAUGGAUGAGGGAAGUGUGACCAUUUAAAGUGCACCUGCAGUGUACUGGUCACUUUGUGAGCCAUUCUAUCUCAUCCUCCCCCAAACCCCUUCCUCCCUUUUCAGAAAGGUUUAGUAACUUACCACAGCCACACAGCUAGUAAGUGCUGGCAGAAUUGGCUCCUAGGUCUAGCUGACCUUGAGACCUAUGUAGUUUCUAUUUUACCACACUGCCAGAAAUAAAAAGUAUUACUAUUAUUGGUUUGAUUGGGGAUGGGGGGAUCUGAUUGCUGUCUUGGCAAGAAAGAAUUUUAUGAGCAGCACUUUGCUUCUGAGGUGGUUCCCUGACUUGGGGUGAGACCCAGGCCUUCUAAUGAGCCCUUGAAAAUACCUCUUGCUUAGGACUGGAAGCCCUAUCAAAAUCCUUGGAUUCCCACAGUUCUCUGCUGCUGUUUAAGGUUAACCUUGGAAGCUUUAACAGAAUGAUAACGAUAAAGCUAAUUGUAACUCCUUAAUCUUUAUUAAAAGUCUCACAAAUCAUUCAUUAACUUUUUUUUUUUUCCUUUUUCCACAAUCUCUGCUUUGGACGUAAUCAUUCAUUAACUUUUUACAGGAAAGAAAUGAGAAGAAAGAGAGUUCUUGGAGAUGUAAUCCUUCAUUGUUUUUCAACAAGCCUCCCGUAUGCCAGAGACCAUUCUUGGUGUUGGGGACACAGCACACACACACACACAC
rnacentral:lncRNA from 10 species